CUUGUCUUAGGCGACUCAUCCUUCGUCAAAGAUCAUAGACUUGGGAUUUAUCAUUCCCAUCAAAGUAUGUAGUGGCAAUAGCAUCCCAAACUUCCUUAGCAGUAUGGAAACGAAUGAAAUUGCCAAUCAGAACAGGGUCCAACGAAUUGAUAAUCCAUCCCUUGACAAUGGCAUUCUCAGUUCGCCAUUUUCGGAAGGA
rnacentral:lncRNA from 1 species